rnacentral:tRNA from 1 species
UGUGGCUGAACUGGUAGAGCACGUGCUUAGCAUGCAUGAGGUCUUGGGUUCAAUCCCCAGUA